UAUUACUUCAAAUAUAAAAAGAAGAUAAAUAAAAAUUAUUUGAAAAAUAAAGAAAUCAUACAGAUUCAGAUAAGUUAAAACCUGAAGAAAAUAAAUAUCGUCAAAUAAGAACGAGAAGCCACCAGCUGGAAUUAUAAGAAAGUUAUUAUCCUUGGAAUUUGGUGACGAAUUGAAAGCACGUCAUUAGUGCUGUAUCAAUGAAAAUCGAAUGAUGUAAAAUGGAUUCAUAAAAAAAUUCAGAAUUCAAACCACUUUUUUGGGAUUCAAAUGCAUUUCAAUUCCAAUGCCAAAUUAAGGUUUAGAAAAUUGAAAAAGAAACACUACCCUCAAGAUUCCCGCUGCUACAAAUUUUCCAGAAAUAACAUCGGAUAUCCAUCACUUAAUUAACAGAUAAAUUAAGAGUGCAUAUGAAAUUUUGAAUCUGUUGACGAGGAAUAUGAUGAAGCUAUUCUAUCUUCAUCAUUUUCCCCGUCAACAGGUCCGGAGACUACGUUGGAUUAUUUGGGCAAUGGCUGUUACUUUCAUUGUGAAAUUUGUUGUUUGAAACGUCUUGAUGGGGAUUUUCUCGGUGUCUGUUCAAAACAUGUUAUUUCGAACAGCAAGGUGUCUGAUAUUCAAGAAAACGCCAUUAAAAUAUAUGGUUGGAACGGUAAAAAUUUUCCUCAUCGUUGGACCAAAUCCGUUUAAGUACAUUUAAAGUCUAUGUAGGGGAGCAGCCGAUUUUAUGAAAACUUUGAACAUGGUUAUAUUAUUGUUAAAAAUAAGUCGAAUGCGAAUAUGGGCAACAUCAGUCGACUCCUUCAGAUACCCCCCCCCCACAAAACGUCAAAAUCUUAAAACAAACAAAGAAAAAAGCUGUACGAUUGGCCGGGUCAAACUUUGAAUACCCUCCACCAGUUGGAACGAAU